rnacentral:rRNA from 1 species
GCGACCCCAGGUCAGGCGGGACUACCCGCUGAAUUUAAGCAUAUAAAUAAGCGGAGGAGAAGAAACUACAAGG